GAAAUACUUCAAAUAAGAGAACAACCAGAACCAAGUAAAAAUACCUCAGCUCUGCUAUGAUUUUUCAGAUGUUAAAGCAAAUAAAAGCAGGUAUGUCCAGAGUGAUCUCCCCUGAGGAGGGAGCAGCUGACAAAGGGUACACUGCACUUUCACUGCAAACACGGUGAAGGAAAGGCAGGAGAUCUGAAGUACAACAGUGGAAGAAAGAGCAUUGAGAAAGCGCAGAUUAUCAAGACCUACAUAUUACUGGAAACUGUGGUAAUAGGAAGAUACUGAAAUAUCACCAAACGGCUUAGAAAAGCAUUUCUUCUGAGUGGCCGCACAGCUGCCUCAAUGCUCUCAAUGCUGAAGGGUGAAAGCACAUGCUCCUAUAGGCAUAAGCAUCCAAACCACAGAUUUUGCUGCUGUACCGAAUCAUGGAUAGGGUUUUUUUUCCCCCAUAGGCUUGGCUGAUUUAGCUAUGCUUGUAAAAGCAUACAGCAGUAUGGACCACAGCAGUCCCACUUCUCGUAGGGAAGGGUCUGGCCUGAUGGAAGGGCAUCGUGGAUGGAGUGCAGGCUGCCCAGCUCCCGUGUGCAGUCAGCAGGGCACAGCUUACAUGUCAUGAAGGGGCCUUGAAAUGUGAAUAAACAAAGUCAGUAGAAGUGCCUGUGUUGGUGAAA